UCCUAUUUUUCACAUUUUUAAUAGGAUUAUACUCAAUCCCUUGUUUAUCAAGACUGGACCUUUGUGCCCCUAACAUAACAUUUAGGUUCUCUUCUCCUUGCACAAAUUUAGCAAGAUCAUUUUUUAAAGAUGCUAUUUCUGCAUUUAUUACAUUAUCAUCAUGUUGAAUAUUCAUAAUUUUUCCAUCAUUAAAAGCAUCUAUGCAUACAUCUCUCAUUUUUAAUUUUUCUUUUAAAAUUUGAUUUUCAUUUUUAAGAUAUUCAUUUUCUUUUCUUUCUUCAAUAAGUGACUCAACUUCAUUCAUUAGCUCAUUUACGCAGUCUUAAAAUAAGCAGUUUUCUUUUUAAGCUUUUGACUUUCAUUAUGUAAAGCAAGAUAAUCAAAAAUAGUAAUUUCUCCAAGUUCAGGACUUACCUCGGAUGUUUCCUUAUUGUAUAUUCUAGUGAAGCACAGUUGAGCAUUUUCUUCUUCUUGAUCUUCAUGAACGGAUUCUUCAUCACUCCAUGUCAUUAGAGCCUUCCCAUUUUCUUUAUUCUUUCUUUUUAGUUGCAAGCAAUCUCUUUUGAAGUGUCCAGGCCUUCCACAUUCGAAACAAGUUUCCUCUUGUGGCUUUUGCUUGAAAUCUUUCUUGUUGUUGAAAGCUUUUGUUGGUAAUUUUGAUAUAUUCUUCUUUUGGAUCAGCUCCCUCAAUUUUCUGGUCAUUGAAGCUAUUUCUUCAUCCGAAUCUUCAUCAUUGCCUUCUAUGUAGCUUUCAGCUUGUAAAGCCAAGGUCUUCUUCUUAGGUGCCUCAUCUUCUUCAUCAUACAAUUUUAGUUGGUUUUCAAACUCUUCAAGUUCUCCAAAUAAGGUAAGAGUUUUCAUUGUGCUAAUUGUGACUGAGUCUUGAAGUGUAGUAACCUUUGGAGCGAAUCGCUUUGGCAUAACUCUGAGAAGCUUUCGGUUGAUUUCCUUUGGAUCAAUCUUUCGUCCGAGCAUGCUUAAGGAAUUCAUUAGAGUGAGGAAUCUUUCUCGGGCAUCUCUAAUUGAUUCAUUUUUCUCCAAUUUGAAUAGUUCGUAUUCGUGCAUUAGCAUGCUCAGCUUGACCUCCUUCACUUUAGUAGUACCUUCAUGGCUCAUGAUGACUGUGUCCCAAAUUUCCUUAGCCGUAGUACAAAAAGAUACUUUAUCUAUCUCUGACUGAAUCAUGCCACUUAAAAGUGUAUUCAUGGCCUUGGAAUUAUAAGAUACCAUAUACAAUUCAUUUGAGUCCAUUUCCAUGAGAUUAUUUGGCCUACCAUCAUCAUGUCGCGGAAAGACUGGUCCAUUUUUGACUACCCACCAUUCCCAUGGGUAACGGUUCAGAUAGAUCUUCAUUCUGAACUUCCAAAAAUUUAAGUUUUCACUUCCUAGCAACAGCGGUGGCCUACUUGUGGACUGGCCUUCUUGAAAGUUUAGGUGUGCCAUAGGAUCUUCCCCUACGACUUGCAACGAUCAAUAUUAGUAGAGCCAAGCUUUGAUACCAAAUGUAAUUCAGUUAAUAUGUGCACACCUAGAGGGGGGGUGAAUAGGUGUUUAAACUUAAAGUGAUAAAUAGUGAAAACUUUUUGAAAUUUUCUGCUACAGGUAUAAUUCAGACAACUACACCUGUCUGCUUUAGUGUCUGCUUUAGCUUAUGUUCUUCAUUUCUUAUUAUAAGACAGCUAGACCUGUCUGCUUUAGUGUCUGGAUAGUAGCAUGAAUAACAAAAAAGUGCAGAACGUGAAUGACAGUUAAAGAGAUAAACAGAAGGAAAAAUCACACCAAGAUUUUUACUUGGUUUAGCCCCUAUCCUCUAAUCUAGUGGCCUAAUCCACGUCCAAUCCCAACUAGGAUUAAAGACUCUUUUUAUUUCAAUUUAACUUAGUUAAAUACAAAAUAACUCCUUGUUUGAGAAUGCUUUCCAUUGGACACGACUGCCCCUUCUUGCACCUCUACAAUCCUUCUCACCAUUGAGACCUUUGCACUACUGCAGCCUUGAAAGCUUGUCUAUAAACAGAUCCUAUCAACUCUAUAUAGACCAAGCCGAUACACGGCUUAAACUAAGAACAAGGAUAUUGAUUAUCGACUAUCAAGUUUUGAGCAUAAUACAAUUUAAGAACAAUACAAAAGGGUUGCUGGAAAGAAACUCAGAAUCGCUAUUGAAUAGAACGUAUGAAACUAAUUAAAGCUUUUCCAUGUUCUGUCUUCCAAUAGCCGAGCAAGAGAGAUAUAUAUAUAUAUAUAUAGUAGAGCUUCCAACGGCUAUGAGAGGGCUGAUUCCAUGAAAUCCUCAGUCACAAGAACUCAGCACCAAAUCGAUAGAUAUAUUGUUUCCUUGAUAAGCUCAACCGAAAAGAUAUGAUAUCAAUCAUCUGAUCUGAAGGGAUACGGAAGAUAUGGUUUGUUAACAAUAUACUAUAUUUAGAGCAUAUACCUUUUGAAGCUUCUAGUUCAAAUUUGAAUCAACUAAUUAGUUGACCAAAUUUCAUUCCCUGUCAAUCAAUUGAGAUGAGAUUACAGCAAACAUGCAAUAUAGAUUUAUAUGGACUGUUAUAUGUUACCAUAAUGUCCACCCACAAUCCAUGCAUAUAAUAUAAUAUUAUAUACUACCAAUAUUCAUGCAUAUUAUAUUAUCAUAGUUACAACCAUAAUCCAUGCAUAUUAAUUAUAAUAUUAUAAUAAACCAUGAACCAUGCACAUGUCUAAUAUACUUAAAUUUGUCAUCAUUCAAAACAUCAUAAAAUCAAAAACCAACAAAUACAUCUAUAAAAAUAUCCCUAUAUCAUAGACAAGCUUUUUUAAGCUUUCCCCCCAUAAAAGUUGACAAAUAUAUUGUGUUAGUUUGAUGGGAAAAAAUGGGUUACAAUUUAGUGAGAUUCGAGCUUAGUAUGCAACAUCUAGCAACUUGUAGUCUAACAAAAUUAUAACACUGGGUAUUUCAUGGUGAUUUAGUUCAUGAAGACUAAAUGAUUCAGAUGUAAUUUACUGAUAAGCAGCAGCAGUAGAAGCAUAGAAACUGAAUUGAUCAUUAUAACAUAUAUGUAAAGUCUUUUUACUGAUCAUUUGAAUACUGUGAAGAGCUCCUGCUUAACUUAACUGAUCAUUUGAAUAUUGGUUACUUUAGUAUGUGAUAAGGAGGUGAACAAGGCCAUGCCUUUUUACCUUGAAAAAUGUAAUGUUCAAUUGAACUAAAAAAAGUAUACAAAAUACCCAAGGUAGAGACAAGAUUUGAGAAACUAUCGUAGAAUUACUAUUCACUCUGUUACCUCUUACAAGUUACUAGCACUCACACCACACAAUCAAUAAAAUUGAAAAUAACAAGAAGAAAAGAUUAUGUACAUAUAUUCGAUUUAAAGAGGAUAUUGGUUCACAAUGAUAAUGAUGUCUCGUUGAUGUAGAGGUUACAACAAUGAUAUUGGUUCACAGCAGUUCAUGUUUGAUUUGUUGCUUGAUACUGAUAUUAAUAAGUGCUUUGAACCAUGAAGAAGUGCCUUCCAUUCUAUUCAAUCUCAGUUCCAGAAAAGUUAAAAGGGCUUGUCUUGCUUUAUUCAAUAUUUCAUGAGAAGUUUUUGUUAUUUAUAGGAUUGUUUUAGCACCUCUGGGAGGAUUCAGGUCUUACGAUUUUAUUGCACAACCACACGCCAUCUUGUACCGAAAAAAUUUGUCGUAAACAACCUUUAACAGACUCAUUUACAAAUCAAAAAUGGAGACAUAUAAAGAGUGAAGCAUGUUUUUGAUCUGGGAACAAACUAACCUGAUGUAGAUCUCUUGCAAGAAUAAAAAUCAAAUAAAAUGAUAAUGUUAGAUAAAUAUUAUGAAAGAGUGACAGGACUUCCCUAAAUUAAUAUGAGAAAGUAAAACAGGGAAAAUACUUUAAGAAAUGUGACGCAAGAAUAAAAAUCAAACAAAACGAUAAUGUUGGAUAAAUAUUAAGAAAUUACAACAGAACUUUGACCAGAAAGAAAAAUAAAAUUCAAAUAUCCAAUAAUUUUAUCCAAAACUUUAAACAUAAGCGCGCAGUAAAGGAAGCAUGAUAAUGGUAACUAUUAAUUACCAAAAAAAGAUUAUAAUAACAUCCAUUACACCCUAUGCUGAUAUAAAAAAUAGGGCAUUGCAAAAAUUUAAACAAACAUAUGAUGCUAUUCACAGGAAUCAAAACACCUAAAUAUUAUGAAAGAGUGACAGACUUCAGUUGUUGUGUAUGAAAUAAUAGUGGAAACGAGGACAUAGACAUGUGGUAACAACAAAAAAUUUUACCUAAAAUUUCUAACAUUUAGAUGAAGUCACAAAAUUUGAAAACCCACAAGAUAAGGUUUAGAAACUUGCCUCGUGCGUAGAUUACACGUUAAUAAAACUCGUCCUUUGAAUUAAAUCCUACAUACCAAUUACGUUCACAAUACCAGUCAAUAAUAACGCACUAAAAUCAUAACUUUACUCUUUGUUUAACUCAAAUUCAUGACUAUACUUAGUUAAUUAUAACACUUAGUGUAAAAUUAAGACUUCACGAAAAAUAAACUAAUUAUGCAUUCGAUCAUUCAAUCCACACGUAAUUGUGUUAUGGACAUGUUAAGAAUUUAUUUUAACAUCUCAUUAUAGGUCUAACAAGUCUUUAUAAUCAUUAGACUAAGUUGCUAUCACAUUUCCAUACUUGAACAUUAAAAAUUUGCAUUUUCUGGACAUUCUGCUAAGAGGCGCUACGGCGCCACUUUUGUACUGGCUCUUGGCGUUGCGGCGCCGUGGCGCUGCGGCCGGACACUUGGCGCUGCGGCUGGACACUUGGCGCGAGACUCCAGUUCCAGUUUCUAUAAUUCGCGAAAAUUGCAGAACACGACUAAAAAUUUCCAAUCAACUUAUUUUUACACGAAUUUAGACAUACCCACAUGCUAGAAUUCAUAAAUAAUCAAUACUUAACAUCGAUGGAGUGAUUUUCACCCAUUAAAACACAUAAUCACAGAAUUAAAGCAUGCAAAUCGGACUGUUCUUGAUGUUCAUGAAGUUCUUGAAUAAAAACAUGGAUUUUAAUGCUACGGAUUUGUUAUAAAACCAAAUUCAACCAUUCAAACUUCGUUUUGUUCGUUUUAGCAUGCAUAAUCAUAUACCAUUGUGAAUUUUGUAGAAAAAUUUAUGGUUAACAUAUUAAAAAAUACGUAUAACGGCCAUAUGGCCAUAUCACAUACUCUAAAAUCUUUUACUAUAUAAUUUUAUGAAACUGAAGAUAUGGAAACCCAUAUAAUAUAUAUUAAAACAUGCUAUACUACUCGAAUCAUUACACAUAUCCCUAUAACAACACCCUUUCCCAAUUUACAGAGACUUAUAGAAUAAAUGAAAGCCAUAUUCAUGAAAACUUUAAAAGACGUAAAAUAAAAAUUUGGGUUGAAGAGAAUUACCCAAGCGUAAAGCGUAGAUUAGUGUGUGAAUGAAUUCCUUCUAAACUCUUCUUCAAUCACAAUUCUCCCUCAACACUUCUCAAUCUCUCUCUGAAUUCUCUCCGAGCUCUCAACUUAGCAUACGUGAAAAUAACAUAAUACGCUUGAGGCGUAUAAAAAAAACUACCGUGAUGAUGGUCAGUUACCGAAUCAUGGGUAACUGCUAUUAACCUCCCUUAGGGCCUUGUUUGGCUAGCAUAAUAGGAUUUCAAAACCAUUUAAUUUAAUAAAAUAUUAUCAUAUAGUUUAAAUAAUGUCACACUCCUUUACAAAAUAAAUCAAUAUCUUAUUUAAUUUACUUUAAAUAAAAUAUAAUGAUUUCUCAAUAAUGCACAUAGUCACAUAAUUAAAUUUUCUCAUUUAAUAAUAAUAUCAAUUAUUAAAUCUCUAAUUAAUAAUUAAAUUAAUUAAAAUACUAUCAGGCUUAUUAAAUAUUUCUUUUAAUACAAUAAGCUCACAUAAUCACAUACUUCGAAUAAUAAAAAUUCUCCACAAGUAGUCAAAAUGAUUCUUCAUUUUUUUUGAUCCACAAUCAAAAUGUAGGUAUCUUUUAGUAUUUCUCCAACCUUUAUCGAUGAUUAUGGCUUGAGGCUUGCACCUUCCCUACCAUUUUCUACAACCUCACGAAUACAUGCUUCUAAAAACGUUUUCACUAGUGAUUCAUUCCUCCAACUCACUCUAGUCUUUUUUUUUAGUUUCAGUAUUUUGUUCCAUACCUAAAGUGCAUAGAUUAUAAAAGGUGUAAAUAAUAAAAAAAACAUUUAAAUAGUUUAAACAAUAAAGAACAAAUUAGACUUUAUAGACUAUAACAUUUAACUCAACCAGAUAGUUGACCAAUAAAUGGCUCAUUUUGUAUGUAGGAUUUAUGGAACUAAAACACAAUACUGUAAUUCUAUGUAUGUGCAAACCUAGAGGGUGGUGAAUAGGUGUUAAAGCUAAAAGUGAUAAACGGUGAAAUCUUUUUGAAAUUUUCUACUACAGGUAUAAUUCAGACAGCUACACAUGUCUGCUUUAAUGUCUGCUUUAGCUUAUGUUCUUCAUUUCUUAUUAUCAGAUAGCUAGACCUGUCUGCUUUAGUGUCUGGAUAGUAGCGUGAAUAACAAAAAAGUGCAGAACGUGAAUGACAGUUAAAGAGAUAAACAGAAGGAAAAAUCACACCAAGAUUUUUACGUGGUUCAGCCCUAUCCUCUAACCUAGUGGCCUAAUCCACGUCCAAUCCCAACUAGGAUUGGAGACUAUUUUUAUUUCAAUUUAACUUAGUUAAAUACAAAAUAACUCCCUGUUUGAGAACGCUUUCCAUUGGACACGACUGCCCCUUCUUGCACCUCUGCAAUCCUUCUCACCACUAAGACCUCUGCACUACUGCAGCCUUGAAAGCUUAUCUACAAACAGAUCCUAUCAACUCUAGAUAGACCAAGCCGAUACACGACUUAAACUAAGAACAAGGAUAUUGAUUACCGACUAUCAAGUUUCCAACAUAAUACAUUUUAAGAACAAUACAAAAGGGUUGCUAGAAAGAAACUCAGAAUCGCUAUUGAAUAGAACGUAUGAAACUAAUUAAAGCUUUUCCAAGUUCUGUCUUCCAAUAGCCGAGCAAGAGAGAUAUAUAUAGUAGAGCUUCGAACGGCUAUGAGAGGGCUGAUUCCAUGAAGUCCUCAGUCACAAGAAAUCAGCACCAAAUCAAUAGAUAUAUUGUUUCCUUGAUAAGCUCAACCGAAAAAGAUAUGAUAUCAAUCAUCUGAUCUGAAGGGAUACGGAAGAUAUGGUUUAUUAACAAUAUACUAUAUUUAGAGCAUAUACCUUUUGAAGCUUCUAGUUCAAAUUUGAAUCAACUAAUUAGUUGACCAAAUUUCAUUCCCUGUCAAUCAAUUGAGAUGAGAUUACAGCAAACAUGCAAUAUAGAUUUAUAUGGACUGUUAUAUGUUACCAUAAUGUCCACCCACAAUCGAUGCAUAUAAUAUAAUAUUAUAUACUACCAAUAUUCAUGCAUACUAUAUUAUCAUAGUUACAACCAUAAUCCAUGCAUAUUAAUUAUAAUAUUAUAACAAACAAUGAACCAUGCAUAUGUCUAAUAUACUUAAAUUAGUCAUCAUUUAAAACAUCAUAAAAUCAAAAACCAACAUUCUCCCCCUUUUUGAUGACGACAAUUUAUGCACCAACAUGCUCCUCCUAAGUAUAUGGCUCCCCCUCAACUUAUGUAUAAUAAGAAGAAAAUUAUUUUAUCCAAAAAAAAUCAUCAUUGCGUAUUCCAGUAUAAUAUAAUAUCUCAAUAUCAACAUGAAUACCAAUUCAAACCAAUUUAAAUAUACCCAAAUAUCUUUUCCCCUUUGUCAUCAACAAAAAAUAAUUCAUAUCAAUUAAGUUGAAGAUAGUUAUCUCACCCCAUUUGCCAAAUUAAAAAAUAAGCAUAAAGAAUGACAAUAGAAUAAGGUUAUAAAAAAAUCACAUAUAACCAGUAAACAAUAUAAUCAUACCUUUGAAAUUUGUUACCUAUAUAUCAACCUUUUAUCAAGAUUAUCAUGUGUAUUAAAUAUGGAGCAUUUGACAUAAUAAAUGAUGUUAUAAACCCUUGAAAUCCAUAGAGUUUUUAUAAUAAUAUAUCUAAUUAAAACUCUAUUUAAAAAACAACAUGAGGUACUUACAGAUUCCACCAAAUAAUUUAUAGGUAACUUACUCUCUCAAAGUAAAGAAUCAUCUAUCUCCUUUUUGAUCUUGAGACACCUACAAACAAAUAGUCUCUAUCUUUUUGGUACCCAAAUCUUCUUGGGUCCUUUUGGGUUAGUAGCAUAUAAAUCACUUUUCUUUACCCAAAUUUGUUUUAUUCUAAUUUUAUUGCAAUUAGAAUCAAAAUGACCUUUAAAACCAUAUUUUUUACAAGUAACAAAUGGUGAACAAUAAAGUGGUUUAUGCCUUGAUUUACUAUUAAUCAUUCUAAUAUUAUUAUUAGUCCUAUUUUCCACAUUUUUAAUAGGAUUAUACCCAAUUCCUUGUUUAUCAAGACUGGACCUUUGUGCCCCUAACAUAACAUUUAGGUUCUCUUCUCCUUGCACAAAUUUAGCAAGAUCAUUUUUUAAAGAUGCUAUUUCUGCAUUCAUUACAUUAUCAUCAUGUUGCAUAUUCAUAAUUUUUCCAUCAUUAAAAGCAUCUAUGCAUACAUCUCUCAUUUUUAAUUUUUCUUUUAAAAUUUGAUUUUCAUUUUUAAGAUAUUCAUUUUCUUUUCUUUCUUCAAUAAGUGACUCAACUUCAUUCAUUAGCUCAUUUACGCAGUUCUUAAAAUAAGCAAUUUUCUUUUUAAGCUUUUGAUUUUCAUUAUGUAAAGCAAGAUAAUCAGAAAUAG
rnacentral:lncRNA from 1 species